rnacentral:rRNA from 1 species
AACGAACGCUGGCGGCAGGCUUAACACAUGCAAGUCGAACGCAUCGCAAGAUGAGUGGCAGACGGGUGAGUAACGCGUGGGAACAUACCCUUUUCUAUGGAAUAGCUCUGGGAAACUGGAAUUAAUACCGUAUACGCCCUACGGGGGAAAGAUUUAUCGGGGAAGGAUUGGCCCGCGGUGGAUUAGCUAGUUGGUGGGGUAAAGGCCUACCAAGGCGACGAUCCAUAGCUGGUCUGAGAGGAUGAUCAGCCACAUUGGGACUGAGACACGGCCCAAACUCCUACGGGCGGCAGCAGUGGGGAAUAUUGGACAAUGGGCGCAAGCCUGAUCCAGCCAUGCCGCGUGAGUGAUGAAGGCCUUAGGGUUGUAAAGCUCUUUCACCGAUGAAGAUAAUGACGGUAGUCGGAGAAGAAGCCCCGGCUAACUUCGUGCCAGCCGCCGCCGUAAGAC